GUCUCUGCUUCUUUCUCUCUCUGUGUGUCUUUCAUGAAUAAAUAAAUUUUAAAAAAUAAUAAUAAUCAAAGAAGUACACUAUUAUCACGAAAUUUUAGCCUUUUUCUGUAAGUUCUAACGACUGUAGAAGAGGCUACUGAAAAGGACUAGGGCAAUAUUUUAUUAUUUGUACAAGAUAUCAUUUCUCUUGGAUUAGGAUAAUUUAAAAUGGAAGAUCAUCAACUGAAAAAACGGUCAGAACUAGUUACCAAUGUCGAAAAGAAGAUAUCUAACAUCUUUUGAACACCCUCUGACAUUUCUCACUUUGUAAACAAGUCCUGUUUUCCCAAGAGAAUCUGUAAAUCAGGCAUAUGACUUAAGUCUACACUCCCCCAUACCCUGCUCUGUGACAUCUGAUGUGGAGAAGAGCCACAGGAGGGCGCAUAUUCCAGGAGACUAUUCUGGUGAUCUUUCGAUAAUUACAGGGCUUAAGCCCAAGUUUAUCCUCCUUUGCUGUGGAACAAAGACCUUUCUCUCUACAUAAUCAAGAUAGGCAUGGAACAGGGGGCUUCUCAGAGCCCAUGGGAGAUCCAGGCUACUUCCCUAAUUUUUUCAGCUUACAACCCAAAGGGAUCUUCACUUUUGCAGAUCUGCUACUGGCAGGCAACCUCACAGAUCCAAGACAAAUGAGGAAGAAGCCAUGACGGAAAAGUCGCAGAGACAGUACCUCUGGGGGUUGAAGGAGAGGAGGGAGCACUGGAAAGAAAGAUUGGCAGAUUUGUCUGCGCACAGUGUGAGCUCUAGCAAAGGU